rnacentral:rRNA from 1 species
GGUUAUUCCGUUACGAACGAGACCUUAACCUGCUAACUAGUCUGCUUGUGAACAACAGGUUGUACUUCUUAGAGGGACUAUUGUGCAAGAAGCCAAUGGAAGUUUAAGGCAAUAACAGGUCUGUGAUGCCCCUAGACGUGCUCGGCCGCACGCGCGUUACAAUGACUGGCGCAGAAAGUAUUUCCUGUCCUGGGAAGGUACGGGUAAUCUUAUUAAUACCAGUCGUGUUAGGGAUAGUUCUUUGGAAUUGUGGAUCUUGAACGAGGAAUUUCUAGUAAGUGCAAGUCAUCAGCUUGCGUUGAUUAUGUCCCUGCCGUUUGUACACACCGCCCGUCGCUUGUAGUAACGAAUGGUCUGGUGAACCUUCUGGACUGCGAUAGCAAUAUUGCGGAAAAAUAAGUAAACCCUACCAUUUGGAACAACAAGAAGUCGUAACAAGGUAUCUGUAGGUGAACCUGCAGAUGGAUCAUUA